rnacentral:rRNA from 1 species
GACGAACGCUGGCGGCGUGCUUAACACAUGCAAGUCGAACGGAAAGGCCUGCUUUCCCUUGUGGAUUGCGGGUACUCGAGUGGCGAACGGGUGAGUAACACGUGAGUGAUCUGCCCCCAACUUGGGUAUAAGCCUGGGAAACUGGGUCUAAUUCCCGAUAGGACUGCAGGGUGGUGCCUGUGGUGGAAAACGAUUUUCUAGUGGUUGGGGAUGAGCUCGCGGCCUAUCAGCUUGUUGGUGGGGUAAUGGCCUACCAAGGCGGCGACGGGUAGCCGGCCUGGGAGGGUGGACGGCCACAUUGGGACUGGGUACGGGCCCAGACUCCUCCGGGAGGCGGCAGUGGGGAAAAUGGCCAAAUGGGGGGAGGCCUAAUGCGGCGACGCGGGGUGGGGAUGACGGCCUUCGGGUUGUAAACUCCUUUCGACCGCGAGGAAGCCACCUGGUUGGAAGGGUGGUGACGGUAGUGGUAGAAGAAGCACCGGCUAACUACGUG